rnacentral:rRNA from 1 species
GAUGAACGCUGGCGGCGUGCCUUACACAUGCAAGUCGAGCGACCACAUGACCUACUUUCUUCUCUUGCUUUCGCGUCGCACGCGGGUGUAUCAUGUAUCUAACCUUCCUUUUUGACUGGGAUUACUGUGGCGAACCUUAGCUUAUUCCCGCUUAUAUACUGAACCGCAUAGCUCAGUACUUUCAGACGUUUUUGUUGUCACUCGUACAUUGUUCCACGCCGCAUUAGCUAGUUGGUAAGGUAACGGCUUACCAAGGCAACGAUGCGUAGCCGAUCUGAGAGGGUGAUCGGCCACACUGGAACUGAGACACGGUCCAGACUCCUACGGGAGGCAGCAGUAGGGAAUCUUGCGCAAUGGGCGAAAGCCUGACGGAGCAACGCCGCGUGAGUGAAGAAGGUCUUCGGGUCGUAAAGCUCUGUUAGCAGGGAAGAAAAAAUAUGUAAGAAAACAGGGAGGGGUUGACGGUACCAGAACAAGAAGCAACGGCUAACUACGUG